UCAUCAAUCAAAAUGUCAAAUCCAAAGAGCUCAAAGCAAUUGGAAGCAGAGGGGACAGAAGGGGCUAUGGAGAGAAUUGUGAGAAUCACCAGGAGGCCCCAGUUUUAUUGACACUGCUAUUGGUCAGAUGAGCACAUUUGUUCUUCAGGUUAUUGAGAUCAAACUUUUCAGUGGCAAACCGUACCAGUCCUUCCUGAUAGAGCAUUGACAAUUGCCAAACCGAAAAAGGAUUAAUCUUAAAGCACAAAAAGGAACAAUGGAUCAACAUUGCCAAGAGGUUUCGUAAGAGAUUCCACUGAUAUUAAGAAGAAUGAUAUUACUGUGACUUAUGGAUAAAGGAGGAAAGAUACUAUCCACUUCCAUAUUCUUAGAAAACUACACCAAGAUAAUACUUAGAACUACUCAGUCAUCACUGACCCUGGCUUUAUGACACAGACACAUUUUUCUAUGAAGAGCAAAAUGUAAGAUACGAUUAAAGUCUAUCUAUGAUCACUUGGGGAAUUGUAAUCAUGGAAACAUAUCACUUAUCCAAAUACAAUUCUAUUUCUUCCUCACUCCAAGACAAAUGUUCUUGUGACUUAAGCAUAUACCAAUAGAGUUGGAAUCAUGCCAUCGUUGAUAUAGAAAACAAAGUACAUCUUCCAGCUCCAUCUGGAAAUUUACAUUUUCCAUGUCAAUAUAGCUGUUUUCCUAUACCUGAACUACACUGUUCAAGAAGUAACAAAAAUGGACAUAGUCUGACGUUCAAACCUAGAAUUCUAGUGGAACUAAAAGCUUCUUGGAAUACAUGAAGGAUUUUCACCAUAACUCUAGAUUUAAGUAUUCUUACAAUUAUGCUUUUGCCCCAAAUCAAGCCCUGUAGAAGCUCUGCAGUAAAUAUCUUGUGAGAAAGAGAAUCUUUGAUAUGGACCAACUAGGGUUAUAGAUGGAGUAGGCAAUAUAAUUUAAGAGUUUUUAAGAAAGUUCUUAUGAUAUCACCAGCCUACUGAAUUUUCACGAUACCUUACUCUUCUACUAGCCAGUUUCAGACCUUGACUAAUAGUUGUUAUUGUUUGUCCUUUGCUCUUGAAGAGACCAUGGCAUCAUGGAAGCGAUGCCAUGA